CAAUAGCGUAUAUUUAAGUUGCUGCAGUUAAAAAGCUCGUAGUUGGAUUUCGGGUGGGAAUGGCCGGUCCGCCGUUUCGGUGUGCACUUGCUACGCCCACCUUGCUGCCGGGGCCGUGCCCUUGAGUUCACGCUCGGGACACGGAGUCGGCGAGGUUACUUUGAGUAAAUUAGAGUGUUCAAAGCAGGCCUACGCUCUGAAUACAUUAGCAUGGAAUAACACGAUAGGACUCUGGCCUAUCUUGUUGGUCUGUAGGACCGGAGUAAUGAUUAAGAGGGACAGUCGGGGGCAUUCGUAUUUCAUUGUCAGAGGUGAAAUUCUUGGAUUUAUGAAAGACGAACUACUGCGAAAGCAUUUGCCAAGGAUGUUUUCAUUAA
rnacentral:rRNA from 1 species